CUGACCCAGAGCCAGUCAGUCUGGGUAUCUCUCUCUCUCUCUCCCUCUCUUUCUCUCUCUCUUUUACAUUGGCAGAUAACAGCUAUAACCCAUACAUAAAGUACUGACACUCACCUUCCCACUCUACUACAACCAAAGUACAACCUCCUCCAUGAUAAUACACCAACAUUGUUUUCCUCUUUUUAAACCAAAAAUAUUCCUUUUUCAAUCAUGCAUUGACAAUAACACACACCGUAGUUGACAAACAGUGUCAGGUCAGUCUGUUGUCAUGUGAACUGUUAACCGCGAACCCUCAGCCUCAGGCCUCUGUACCAACACAGUGGCCCAGUAUUGAUCCUUCAUGUCAACUCAUUACUCAUCUACAUCCUGGGAAGCCGACAGCAGCCGUUUUCUCUUUCUUUUUCUUUUUUUUUCCAGCUAGCCCACUACACGUCCCACGUUGCCCCAUUUGUGAACAAAUGUUGUAUAACUGCAGAGACUACAGACUUGGUCUUCAUCUCUCUGUCACACACACACACACAGAGGCAAAACAGAGCUCCAUUGUCCCGUCCUUACAUGGUAGAGACUGACACCGACACAGAAGAAACAACAUGUAGUUGCCCAUAAGGCAAAACCAAUGACGAGCAAGGAUUCACUGCUAGGAUGGACAGGAAUGGUGAGGCAAUGGGGGGGUCGGGGGGGCUUAAUCUGAGCCCCUAAUGUCACCACCAGAUGUCGCUAAAUUCCACACAGCAUAUCUUUAAACAGGAGACGAAGAGGGUGACGUCCGCUAGCCGCUGAGGAAGAAGAUGGGACGGAUGCCAAAGUGUCUGUGAUUUAAGUGCUGACUGACUGGAUUCUGUGCUAAGUAAAGCAAACAUAAUUAGCAACAGGAGACUGAAG